rnacentral:snoRNA from 1 species
AUCCUUUUGUAGUUCAAAAGCGUGAUGAUUGGGUGUUCAUGCCAUUGUGUGACAUGUGCCUCCCUCAAACCUUGUUACAACCUUGGCACAUUACCCAUCUGACA